CUAAACCUAUUUACAAUGGCGGCAUUUCAUCUUAUUAGAGGAACCUGUUUUUUAAUCGAUAAUCCACGUUAAUUUUCACUUAAAUUAAAAAUUUAUAUAUCGCCAUCUCAAAACUAAUCUAAUAAUAAUAUUUUAAAUAAAAACUAAAAAGUUAGGUCAAGGUGUAGUCUAUAUUAAAGUUUUUAAUGGGUUACUUUAAAAAAAUUUAAGGAUUUUCUUAUGAAAAUAUUAAUCAAAAAGGAUUUAAAAGUAAUAAUAAAAUAUUAUUUCAUUAUG
rnacentral:rRNA from 1 species